CCCUUAGAUGUUCUGGGCUGCACGCGCGCUACACUGAUGCACUCAACGAGUUUACGACCUUGCCCGAUAGGGUUGGGUAAUCUUUUUAAAAUGCAUCGUGAUGGGGAUAGAUUAUUGCAAUUAUUAAUCUUCAGCGAGGAAUUCCUAGUAAGCGCGAGUCAUCGGCUCGUUCUGAUUACGUCCCUGCCCUUUGUACACACCGCCCGUCGCUCCUACCGAUUGAGUGCUCAGGUGAAUAAUUCGGACUGCAGCAAUGUUUGGAUCCCGAACGUUGCAGCGGAAAGUUUAGUGAACCUUAUCACUUAGAGGAAGGAGAAGUCGUAACA
rnacentral:rRNA from 1 species